rnacentral:lncRNA from 1 species
CCAUGGCUCCAUUCUAUAGAGAUCAAUAUCAGUGAUGACAUCAAGAUCAAUCUUGAGGGAGCUAAUUUUUCUCUUGAGGUAGUAUCCAACUAGUUCUUCCUCUGUUGGAUGAAAUCUAAAACCUGGAGGAACACAUGACUCCAUUUCCAUUUUUUGAUCUGAGAAUUUACAUAUAUAAUUGAGAAAAGUCCCUGGAGGAACACAAGAUUCCAUUUCCAUUCUUUGAUCUGAAAAUUUACACAUAUAAUUAAGAAAGUUUCAGUAGAGAAAAUGCUGGACAAGAAAGAAAAG